rnacentral:rRNA from 1 species
CUUGGUCAUUUAGAGGAAGUAAAAGUCGUAACAAGGUUUCCGUAGGUGAACCUGCGGAAGGAUCAUUCAUAAUAAGUGUUUUAUGGCACUUUUUAAAUCCAUAUCCACCUUGUGUGCAAUGUCAGUCGAUCUUCUUCAUGGAGAUCGACCAAACAUCAACCUUUAUUUUUUAACUCUUUGUCUGAAAAAUAUUAUGAAUAAACAAUUCAAAAUACAACUUUCAACAACGGAUCCCUUGGCUCUCGCAUCGAUGAAGAACGCAGCGAAAUGCGAUACGUAAUGUGAAUUGCAGAAUUCAGUGAAUCAUCGAAUCUUUGAACGCAUAUUGCGCUCUUUGGUAUUCCGAAGAGCAUGCUUGUUUGAGUAUCAGUAAACACCUCAAAGCUUUUGGAUUUUUUAAUCGAAAAGCUUUGGACUUGAGCAAUCCCAACACCAAUCUUUUUGAGAUCGGUGGCGGGUUGCUUGAAACGCAGGUGCAGCUGGACAUUCUCCUGAGCUAAAAGCAUAUUCAUUUAGUCCCGUCAAACGGAUUAUUACUUUUGCUGCAGCUAACAUAAAGGGAGUUUGACCGUAUUGGCUGACUGAUGCAGGAUUUCACAAGGGUCGGCAACGAUUCUUGUUAAACUCGAUCUCAAAUCAAGUAAGACUACCCGCUGAACUUAAGCAUAUCAAUAAGCGGAGGA